rnacentral:misc_RNA from 1 species
UCCGAUUUGUCACCGGCAGUCUCCCUAGAGUCCCCGACAUAACUCGCUGGCAACUAGGGACAGGGGUUGCGCUCGUUGCGGGACUUAACCCAACACCUCACGGCGCGAGCUGACGACAACCAUGCACCACCUGUGCACGGCCCCGAAGGACACCGCAUCUCUGCGGCUUUUCCGUGCAUUUCAAGCCUUGGUAAGGUUCUUCGCGUUGCGUCGAAUUAAGCCACAUGCUCCGCCGCUUGUGCGGGCUCCCGUCAAUUCCUUUGAGUUUUAACCUUGCGGUCGUAAUCCCCAGGCGGGGUGCUUAAUGCGUUAGCUUCGGCACGGAGGGAGUGGAUAACCCCCCACACCUAGCACCCAUCGUUUACGGCGUGGACUAC